rnacentral:lncRNA from 1 species
GAAAAAAUCAAAAUUCAAAAACCUCAUAUCUGCUUCUCAACUUUUGAAUUCCCCAAAUGUAUCUGAAAACGUUUGUUGCCUCUCUCUGUCUCACAUUUUGAAAACCCUAGACUACUGCAUCAGUACAAGAUCGACGACCUAUGGGUGGUUUUUACUCAUCUUCUUCUUCUACUCUCUCUUUCUUUCCUACAAAUUCAUACUCUCAAAGAAACACUAUGUAGAUUUAGGAUUAGAUCUGUCAGACUCGUGGAGCUUUGGGGGACGAAAGAUAGUGACGGUGGUGAUGAUUUGGUUACAGCCUUCUAUACGGUGGUGGUCCUUAAGAGCCACGUAAACACCGUCAACGGUUCCAAGGUUAAAACAAUGAGGAAGACCAUGACAGAAAACCCUAGCCAUCGCCUCCCGCGAUGGCGGCUAGGUUCCGACGAAGCUUCAUGGUUCUGCCACCCGAGCGCCAGUAGAGGAGACUAAGGUUCCGGCGAAUGUAAAGCCAUCGGUGACUGAACCACCAGUGCUGGCGGUUGCAUUAGUGGAGCAGGACAAUGUGAAUACUUCAAGGGUUGUGCAGGACGAACAAGACAUGGGUUGAUUAGUGAUGAUGAUAUGUACGGCCAGGUACUCAAAGUUUAGCCCUUUUUGAGUAUGAGUUGGGUUUGCAAUUGAGCAUGGGCUGAUUAGUAAUUUUUUUUCCAUCAGAAUUGUUUGAUUAAAUAUUUGUUAUAAAUCUUAAUUAUAGGGUAAUACAUCCCUAAAGUCAGUGUAUUAUGAUAAACAUUCUAUUUUGCAAGAACUUUAUAGCUGCGUAAUGUGGUGAUUGAAGAAAGUUACUGAUCACCAAAAGUAACAAAAGAUAGUUUAACUGUUGUAAAACGCAUCAAAUUUUAUUGAAUACAGUCAAGAAUGUUGGUUCAAGUCUGGUGAAACAAGAUGCUAAUGCUAAAAACAAUGUUGCUGGUGUUGGCACUACUUGGGCAACAUUCCUUACACGAGAAAUAUUCUUAGAAGUGUGCAAAUCGGCUGCAACUGGUAUGAAUGCAAUGGGUCAGAAUGGUUUUGGGUGUAUGAUAAUAGAUUUGGGUAUAUGUAUAUCUAACAAAAUAAACGGGGUAGCGGGUCAGAAUGGUUUUGUGUCACGAGUCAUUUAAAACGGUCAUUUGGGUUUGGGUCAGAAUGGUUUUGUAUAACUGGGUAUAGAUCAAAACAGGUUGUUUUAAAAAAAAGGAGAAUAUUGUAAGCAAACAUUACCAAAACCCAAAAGAUGACCAUGAAAACAAAUAUUUAACUUGCAAAAUAUGCAAAGAUACAAUUUAAUGAUAUUAAUACAACUUUUUGGCGUAUUUUGUGUUCUUGU